GCACACGGGUGUGUGGGGUUACUUCGAAGGGUACACGGCCUAGCACACGGGCGUGUGGCUUGGCCAUGUGACCAAGUCAAAGAGUUGCACGGGCAUGGACACGGGAUAGGACACGGUAGUGUGUCCCUAUUUCAGACGCCCACACAGCCUAAGACAUGAGCGUGUCUCUUGGCCGUGUGAUCCCUACAGCUUUGAAAUUUUUUAAUGUUUUUUGAAAAAUUCUCUGAUUUUUCGACUUAGUCUCAACUUGUUUCUAAUGCAUAUUUUGG
rnacentral:lncRNA from 1 species